UUUUUGAGCAGUAUAUAUAUAUAUAUAUAUAUAUAUAUAUAUAUAUAUAUAUAUAUAUAUGGGCAGUGGCUUCUUAACUAUUCUUAGCAUUUUGCAUAAAAAUCUAAUGUCUAAAGUGUUCACACUGGAUUUAGCCAGCGGCUCAAUGAUGUCAUCCUUUUGAGCGACCCUGCUGGUUGGCUACAUAGAGGCUGUGCAGUGUCGUCUGCUGGUUGUGCAGAGCUGUUCUUGUGCAUAGUGUUCAGGCCUUUCAACUAGGGCUUGACUACAUCAUCCCUUGCUCAUCCUAACACCAGUGCAGUAACUUUCAGCAGUACUGAAAGUCUGAUGUUUCAGUAUUUCCCUUCAAAUUAUGUUUCAGUAACUCCGUUCUAAGUGUUAUAGGACACAUAUUUCGCUGCAGUUUGGUUGUUGAUAUAAUACUCAUGCUAUAAGUGGUAUGCUAUAAAUGGUAUGCUAUCCUGAAGUGAACAUUGAAAAUCUUUGUCAAAUGAACCUUCUCCAUUGUUCAACUGUCUGCCGAACUUUCAAUCUUGUCCAAUGAAUGAAAAUUGAAAUUUUUGGUUUCUAUUUUCUUAGGCCUAGAUUUGAUCAGAUCAAGCGUUAACCAGUGAUAGCCGACACUCGCAUAGCUGAUGUUUUGGCGGUGUCGGCAAGUGGAACUGCAUUGGAGCUGUCAAAUCAGUGAACAGCUGCUCUUGUGAUCAUUGUCACAAAGCCACGCCUGUCCCACUCGCGUUAGUUCAGAAGGAGAACGUUUAGCCUACAUAGAAAUAAUGACGCUCAAAUUGAAAAUCAUUAAACAAAAUAAUGAGGGUUUCUAUCAGCCUAAUCGAGGUGUAGAUUACAUCUCACAUUCCAGUCUUGGAACUCUUAAUGUGACUCCCUGCAGCCAAUGGCAAUGUCCGCUUUAUGUAUAAUGCUAGGAGCCACUUAUGCAUUUGACAGCUCUAACGCUGUUCCACCUCCAGCACCGCCAAAAUGACUGCUGUGUGGAUGUCGGCUAAAUGGGAUCUGAUUUAAUAGAGUCCUUUAAUUAUGUUGCACUGUUGUUGAUGAUGGUUUCUGUUGUAUUUCACUUUGCCUCUAAGGGUCAAAACUUUGUAUGAUGUGGUGAAACAUUGAGGGGUGAAUCAUACUUAGCUUAAAGAUGAAUUUUCAUUUAGUUAUGCAUUGAUGUCAGUGGGAGACUAUGUGAAAAUUUGACUAAAGUGAAAAUUAGUGUUCGCUCUUAACACUUCAAUACUUGAAAUUCUAUUCAAAAUUGCUAAAUCCUGUAGCUGCAGACUUGUGAUCUGUGACUGUCAGGAUGUCCAUUGGCUGUUUUAAAAGAGUACAGCAUGUUGACAGUCUGCUAGAAGUAUUACAUCAGUGUUGUAUAUUUUAUUUUCAUUUACUGAGGUGUUUCGAAUUUUACAUUUCCUGUUGGUGCAUUUUAUAUUGUAUAAGAUUAUUUGUUUGAUUAUUGUUAUUAUUUUUGUUUCUAUUUGGUGUUAUUACACCAUUGAUAAUAACAUAAUGAUAAUGAAUUGUCAGUUAAGCAGGUGUUCUUGAAAGUAUACAGAAAUUCUAAGAGUUAUUUUAUUUCUGCUCCUUAAUUUACUUGAAUAUGAUGUUGACAUAGUUGGUUGCGAUAUGCCUGAUUUGAGUAGGGGUAUUCUGACUGUUCCUGUAUUCAGAUGAAGACUGUUUUUCCCUCUUGCACUGGCUCAGCCCAAACGCCUUCUGUCCAGGCUUAUAGCGCUGAUGCAAUGAGAAUGUCAGAAAUGACAACAAAAUGAUUCAAAAUGUUAUAGUUUAAUAAAAAUCUAUGAAUGAAAUAUGUCAAGUGCCUUCUUGUAUGCUGAUAUAAGGGGACUUCCUGUCGCUGAUGCCCGUGGACAGAUGGCACAACCUUUCCUUAUAAGCA
rnacentral:lncRNA from 1 species